UACGUAGGGGGCGAGCGUUGUCCGGAAUCAUUGGGCGUAAAGCGCGUGUAGGCGGCUCGGUAAGUCCGGUGUGAAACCUUGGGGCUCAACCCCAAGCCUGCACUGGAUACUGUCGAGCUUGAGUCCGGGAGGGGAGAGCGGAAUUCCUAGUGUAGCGGUGAAAUGCGCAGAUAUCAGGAGGAACACCGGUGGCGAAGGCGGUUCUCUGGGCAUGAUCUGACGCUGAGGAGCGAAAGUGUGGGGAGCGAACAGG
rnacentral:rRNA from 1 species